UCUAAGUUUAAGCAAGNNUAUACUGCGAAACUGCGAAUGGCUCAUUAAAUCAGUUAUCGUUUAUUUGAUAGUACCUUACUNACAUGGAUAACCGUGGUAAUUCUAGAGCUAAUACAUGCGAAAAACCCCNGACUUCGGAAGGGGUGUAUUUAUUAGAUAAAAAACCAAUGCCCUUUGGGNCUCUUUGGUGNAAUCAUAAUAACUAAACGAAUCGCAUGGCCUUGAGCCGGCGAUGGUUCAUUCAAAUUUCUGCCCUAUCAACUUUCGAUUGGUGAGUAGUGUUCACCAAUGGUGUCGACGGGUAACGAAGAAUUAGGGUUCGAUCUCGGAGAGGACGCCUGAGAAACGGCGNUNCACAUCCAAGGAAGGCAGCAGGCGCGCAAAUUACCCAAUCCCAAUU
rnacentral:rRNA from 1 species